rnacentral:rRNA from 1 species
UAUNGCACAAUGGGGGGAACCCUGAUGCAGCNACGCCGCGUGGGCGAUGGAGUGCUUCGGCAUGUAAAGCCCUAUCAGCAGGGAAGAAAAUGGCGGUACCUGACUAAGAAGCACCGGCUAACUACGUGCCAGCAGCCGCGGUAAUACGUAGGGGGCAAGCGUUAUCCGGAUUUACUGGGUGUAAAGGGAGCGUAGACGGUGCAGCAAGUCUGAUGUGACAGGUCGGGGCCCAACCCCGGGACUGCGUUGGAAACUGUUGAACUGGAGUACAGGAGAGGUAAGCGGAAUUCAUAGUGUAGCGGUGAAAUGCGUAGAUAUUAGGAGGAACACCAGUGGCGAAGGCGGCUUACUGGACUGUAACUGACGUUGAGGCUCGAAAGCGUGGGGAGCAAACAGG